AGCAUUAUCGGAAUUUUUGACAUUGUAGAAGAAUGAGUGAUUUCCGGAACUGAAAUUUGGAAGAACUACAAUUUUAUUGACUGUCACGCUGUAAAUUCUGAUUUUCAGUAUUUGAUGUAGAAAAAUGAAAGAUUUUUGAAACAGAAAUCUGGAAGAACUACAAAAUGGAAGAAGAAUGAGUGAUUUUCGAAACUGAAAUCUGG
rnacentral:lncRNA from 1 species